UGCGUAGGCGGCUUCGUAAGUUGGAUGUGAAAUCCCCGAGCUUAACUUGGGAAUUGCAUUCAAAACUGUGAAGCUAGAGUAUGGGAGAGGAUGGUAGAAUUCCAGGUGUAGCGGUGAAAUGCGUAGAGAUCUGGAGGAAUACCGAUGGCGAAGGCAGCCAUCUGGCCUAAUACUGACGCUGAGGUACGAAAGCAUGGGGAGCAAACAGGAUUAGAUACCCUUGUA
rnacentral:rRNA from 1 species